CACGCCUAACACAUGCAAGUCGAGCGAGGUAGCAAUACCUAGCGGCAGACGGGUGCGUAACAUGUGGGAAUCUGCCUUUUGGUUCGGAACAACACGGGGAAACCUGUGCUAAUACCGGAUAAGUCCUUACGGAGAAAGUUUUAAUGCCAAAAGAUGAGCCCGCAUUUGAUUAGCUAGUUGGUAAGGUAAAAGCUUACCAAGGCGACAAUCAAUAGCUGAUUUGAGAGGAUGAUCAGCCACACUGGGACUGAGAUACGGCCCAGACUCC
rnacentral:rRNA from 2 species